AUGGAUCCACUGGGAUCCAUCCUCUGGAUUCUCUGUAAUGCUCGCACGACACCCUUUCCUCCAACCAAACAUCAUCCAGUAGUUCACCCAUGUUCAUCUUUAUCAGCGUCUUCAGCAACAACUCACAAAACAGAACCGCCAAUUUCCCUCUAUUCAAGCUCAGCUCAAACUCUGUUCGCUCAAAAAUGCUCCUUUUGUCGUGAUUCAAAGCUCUCGACGACAUCUCUUCAAUUCAGUAAAUUUGAUACCCUAUUAUUUGGUUCUAUAACUGUGAUGUUGUUGAUUGAGGUGUGUGAUAUUUUUGAUAAUUAUGUUGAAACUGUGUGA